rnacentral:rRNA from 1 species
CAAUAGCGUAUAUUAAAGUUGUUGCGGUUAAAAGCUCGUAGUUGGAUUUCUGUUGAGGACGACCGGUCCGCCCUCUGGGUGAGUAUCUGGCUCGGCCUUGGCAUCUUCUUGGAGAACGUAACUGCACUUGACUGUGUGGUGCGGUAUCCAGGACUUUUACUUUGAGGAAAUUAGAGUGUUUCAAGCAGGCGUACGCCUUGAAUACAUUAGCAGUAGGAAUAAUGAGAGUACGGUACCGUUGGUUCUUAUUUUGGUUUGGUUUCUAGAGCUGAGGUAAUGUAUUAAGUAGGGAUUAGGGUUGGGGGCUAUUCGUUAAUUUUAAUUGUCAGGAGGUAGAAAUUUCUUGGUAUUUAAUUAAAGGACGGACUACUGACGAAAGCUAUUU